GAUCAUGGCUCAGGAUGAACGCUGGCGGCGUGCUUAACACAUGCAAGUCGAGCGAAGCGCUUAAGUUUGACUCUUCGGAUGAAGACUUUUGUGACUGAGCGGCGGACGGGUGAGUAACGCGCGGGUAACCUGCCUCAUACAGGGGGAUAACAGUUAGAAAUGACUGCUAAUACCGCAUAAGACCACGGUACCGCAUGGUACAGUGGUAAAAACUCCGGUGGUAUGAGAUGGACCCGCGU
rnacentral:rRNA from 1 species